rnacentral:pre_miRNA from 1 species
AUAAAGAAUUUGAAGACUUCAACUUGCAUCCUUGAAGAAUUUGAAAGACUUCAAUUUGCAGACUUGGAGAUUUUUUAAGAUUUCAAGU